rnacentral:rRNA from 1 species
AUUGAACGCUGGCGGCAUGCCUUACACAUGCAAGUCGAACGGUAACAGGUCUUCGGAUGCUGACGAGUGGCGAACGGGUGAGUAAUACAUCGGAACGUGCCCGAUCGUGGGGGAUAACGAGGCGAAAGCUUUGCUAAUACCGCAUACGAUCUACGGAUGAAAGCGGGGGAUCUUCGGACCUCGCGCGGCCGGAGCGGCCGAUGGCAGAUUAGGUAGUUGGUGGGAUAAAAGCUUACCAAGCCGACGAUCUGUAGCUGGUCUGAGAGGAUGAUCAGCCACACUGGGGCUGAGACACGGCCCAGACUCCUACGGGAGGCAGCAGUGGGGAAUUUUGGACAAUGGGCGAAAGCCUGAUCCAGCCAUGCCGCGUGCAGGAUGAAGGCCUUCGGGUUGUAAACUGCUUUUGUACGGAACGAAAAGCCUCUUUCUAAUAAAGAGGGGUCAUGACGGUACCGUAAGAAUAAGCACCGGCUAACUACGUG